rnacentral:rRNA from 1 species
GGACCCGCACAAGUAGUGGAGCAUGUGGUUUAAUUCGAAGAUACGCGCAGAACCUUACCAACACUUGACAUGUUCGUCGCGACUUUAAGAGAUUAAAGUUUUCGGUUCGGCCGGACGAAACACAGGUGCUGCAUGGCUGUCGUCAGCUCGUGUCGUGAGAUGUUGGGUUAAGUCCCGCAACGAGCGCAACCCUCACUUUUAGUUGCCAUCAUUAAGUUGGGCACUCUGAAAGAACUGCCAGUGAUAAGCUGGAGGAAGGUGGGGAUGACGUCAAGUCCUCAUGGCCCUUACGUGUUGGGCUACACACGUGCUACAAUGGUAUUUACAACAGGAAGCAAGACGGCGACGUUAAGCAAAUCCUUAAAAAUAGUCUCAGUUCGGAUUGAAGUCUGCAACUCGACUUCAUG